GACCUCCCAAUUCUUACCACAGGCUGGUUCUUUACACUGCUGUAUAGAAGAGAAGGUAACACGUUAUAGGCAACCACCCAUAUACACCUCAACACAGGCCCCUUGCCGGGUAUGUAUUGUGAAUUGGGGGGGAAAAAG